rnacentral:rRNA from 1 species
AGAUUGAACGCUGGCGGCGUGCCUAACACAUGCAAGUCGAGCGGUAACAGGUGUAGCAAUACAUGCUGACGAGCGGCGAACGGGUGAGUAAUGCUUUGGAAUCUUCCCAGUAGUGGGGAAUAACCAGUCGAAAGAUUGGCUAAUACCGCAUACGUCUGUAAAGGGAAAGCGGGGGCUCGUAAGACCUCGCGCUAUUGGAUGAGCCAAAGUCGGAUUAGCUAGUUGGUGGGGUAACGGCCUACCAAGGCGACAAUCCGUAGCUGGUCUGAGAGGACGACCAGCCACACCGGAACUGAGACACGGUCCGGACUCCUACGGGAGGCAGCAGUGGGGAAUAUUGGACAAUGGGGGAAACCCUGAUCCAGCGACGCCGCGUGUGUGAAGAAGGCCUGCGGGUUGUAAAGCACUUUUAGUGGGGACAAAAAGCUACGGAUUAAUACUCUGUGGUCUUGAUUUAACCCAAGAAAAGCACCGGCUAACUCUGCGCCAGCAGCCGC